rnacentral:rRNA from 1 species
GGCGCCGUCGAUCCCGGCCAUGGCCCGCCCCCACGCCCCAGCCUCGCGGAAUCAAGCCCGGCCCCUCCGUCCGCGACCUCCUUAUCCCUCCACGGCCAUGGCCUCGGCCUCCCUUCCCCGACCGCCAAGACGCCGGCGCGGAGGCUACUCUCCGCCACCGUCAGGGCCAUGGCGCCGGCCAGCCCCAGCAAAGGUACUGCACAGUCGCGGCGGCGGACGGCAAGUUCAUGCCGGUCAUCGACAGAAAGGCCGGCUACUCCUUCGUCUGCCCAUUCGGAUGGCAGGAGGUGUCUGUGCAAGGGCAGGACAAGGUGUACGAGGACGUGAUCGAGCCGCUAGAGAGCGUCAGCAUCAACAUGACCCCCGCCACUAAGGAAGACAUCCGCAACCUCAGCCCGCCUGACCCCGCCGUCCGCGAGUGGACCUCAAGACUGCUGUGUACCACGCCGAUGACGUCCUCGACGACUUCCGCCAACCCAGAUUCGCCGCCGCUGCUCCACUGCUCGCAAGGUUCAUCCUACCUUCUCUUCCCACUCCGGCUGGCUCCGUUUGAGAGCUCUGUAAAUUCCUAUGCACUAAAAAUACACUGUAUAUAAGUGAAUACAUUUCUGC